rnacentral:lncRNA from 1 species
AUUGGAUUGAGUACAAAGUACUAAUACCACCAAAUGUGAGCUAGGCAAAGGAUAGCGCAUGAUUGCAAUAUCGUUUCCUGCAAAAAAAGAAUACUAGGUUAGUGAUUCCUAUCCCUUCUAAAAUUUGCCUGCCAACACUGAUUUGUAUGUUGUUGUCUUUUCCAGUUGCUUCUAAAAUUUCCUUCAGAUAUAAAUUGUUCUGCAUUAAGUUUGCCUGGCUCCCUGUAUGUAUAGUUGGAAUCCUGAGUAAUGAAUUGAUCUACCUUGCUUCUUAGUUUUAUGUUUGCACCAGAUGCACACAUAACUGAACCAAUCAGUUUUGUUAUUUAUUAUGUAUGCGAUACAGUGAUAACAUAUGUCUAUCAUGAUGUGCCUCACUUCAUGUGAUAUUGAAAUGUUGAUCUGCACUUUGAUAUCACCUCUAAGCAGCUCAACUCCUUUUGUAUGUACUUGCCAAUAAAAUAUGCAUAAAGUAUAUAGCAACAGAGUAUUCUUCCAAAAUUCUUUACUUUUGUCUACCAUUAACUUGCUCCCAGGGCAAUGAGUGCAUUGUACUAAUACCACCAACUGAGAUUCAUCAAAUAGUAGGGCAUAGAGACAGUAACUUUUUCCUUCCCUCAGAAUAUGUGAAAUUCGAAUAUUGCAUUCCUCAUCAGCAUUUUAAUUAUUGUGUGUGCAUGUGUUUGAAUUGCGCUUAAGGUAGUUUGGAAGAGAAGAGACUUAAUAUAGCAGCUAUAGAACUUGAAAACUUUCAGGUGAAGCUUUUUGAAGAUUAGGUUAAGAGGCAAAUGACUCUUUGUUUUAUGUUGGUUAGGCAAAACUUAUUACAUGCAACAUUCUUUCGAACUGAAUAUUUGAAGCUAAGUGUAUUUGUCAAUUAGUACAUUCAACAAUAGAUACACAAUUAACACAACAAGAAUUUAUAUCUUUCUAGUCUAUUUGUGUCAAUCAGUUUUCUUCUUUGCUAACCUAUAUUCUGUUUGCUUUUCAG